AGAAAGCCUGAUGAACAGCUACAGGUGGCUCAGAACAAACAGAUGGGAGAGGCAAUGGUUCCCGGGACUGAUCAACAUCGCCAUUACAGAGGGCACCCAACUCCAACCAGCAAACCGAGGUGAAGCACAAAGCCAGCUCUGCCCAGGAGAAGGUCUCCUUGCCCAGGUGGGAGGAACUUCUCCGGGGUGAGAGGCUUUCAGCCAG